GAUCAAGUGUCUUAAGGGCAUUCGGUGGAUGCCUUGGCGACAAGAGGCGAUGAAGGACGUGAUACGCUGCGAUAAGCCAUGGGGAGCUGCGAAUAAGCUUUGAUCCGUGGAUUUCCGAAUGGGGAAACCCACUCCGUAUGGAGUACCCGCAAGGGAGCAAACCCGGGGAACUGAAACAUCUAAGUACCCGGAGGAAAGGACAUCAACCGAGACUCCGCUAGUAGUGGCGAGCGAACGCGGACCAGGCCAGUGGCUUGCAUUUAAGAACCGGAACCGUCUGGAAAGUCGGGCAUUAGUGGGUGAUAGCCCCGUACGGGUAGAAAUUAUGCAAGUCCUCGAGUAGGGCGGGACACGUGAAAUCCUGUCUGAACAUGGGGGGACCACCCUCCAAGCCUAAGUACUCCUUGUCGACCGAUAGCGAACAAGUACCGUGAGGGAAAGGUGAAAAGUACCCCGACGAGGGGAGUGAAACAGUUCCUGAAACCGGAUGCCUACAAACAGUUGGAGGGCGCAAGCCUGACAGCGUACCUUUUGUAUAAUGGGUCAGCGACUUAAUUUAACGAGCAAGCUUAAGCCGGUAGGUGUAGGCGUAGCGAAAGCGAGUCUGAAUAGGGCGCCCUAGUUCGUUGGAUUAGACCCGAAACCGAGUGAUCUAGCCAUGGCCAGGUUGAAGGUGCGGUAACACGCACUGGAGGACCGAACCCACGCCUGUUGAAAAAGUCGGGGAUGAGCUGUGGCUAGGGGUGAAAGGCCAAUCAAACUCGGAAAUAGCUGGUUCUCCGCGAAAUCUAUUUAGGUAGAGCGUCGGAUGAAUACUCUCGGGGGUAGAGCACUGGAUGGGCUAUGGGGGCUUACCGCCUUACUGAUCCUAACCAAACUCCGAAUACCGAGAAGUACUAUCCGGCAGACACACAGUGGGUGCUAACGUCCAUUGUGGAGAGGGAAACAACCCUGACCGCCAGUUAAGGUCCCUAAGUUAUGGCUAAGUGGGAAAGGAUGUAGAACUCCCAAAACAACCAGGAUGUUGGCUUAGAAGCAGCCAUCAUUUAAAGAAAGCGUAACAGCUCACUGGUCUAAAUAAGGGGUUCCGCGCCGAAAAUGUACCGGGGCUCAAGCCAUACACCGAAACUGCGGGUGCAUCUUAUGAUGCGCGGUAGCGGAGCGUUCUGUAAGUCUGCGAAGGGGGACCCGUGAGGGCUCCUGGAGAUAUCAGAAGUGCGAAUGCUGACAUGAGUAACGAUAAAGCGGGUGAGAGACCCGCUCGCCGAAAGUCCAAGGGUUCCUGCGCAACGCUAAUCGGCGCAGGGUUAGCCGGCCCCUAAGGCGAGGCCGAAAGGCGUAGUCGAUGGGAAUGCAGUUAAUAUUCUGCAGCUUGGUGGUAGUGACGGAUGCCGUGUGUUGUAUCUCCUUAUUGGAUUGGGGGUGCAGCGAAGGUGUUCCAGGAAAUAGCUCCACCGUAUAAACCGUACCCGAAACCGACACAGGUGGACUGGUAGAGAAUACCAAGGCGCUUGAGAGAACUAUGCUGAAGGAACUCGGCAAAAUGCUCCCGUAAGUUCGCGAGAAGGGAGACCUCACGACGGGCAACCGUUGUGGGGUGGCACAGACCAGGGGGUGGCGACUGUUUAUCAAAAACACAGGGCUCUGCGAAGCCGUAAGGCGACGUAUAGGGUCUGACGCCUGCCCGGUGCUGGAAGGCUAAGAG
rnacentral:rRNA from 1 species